CAAAAGGAUCGGAGACUUUAUUUUCAAUACCAUUUCUUCAAGCAUUAUUUACAACCUAACAAUCCAUUGGAGGUUCAUUUGGUGUUAUUGGCCUAGGUGUUGGGGUUUCACUUUUGUCAUGAGUUAAGCACUCAUUUAUUGUGAUAAGUUUGGAUUUUUUUGGGAAAGGUGUUUGCUUGGCCUGAGCAUAGUAAGUAAUUUUUGCUUAAAACUUUGUACUUGAGAUAUUGAUAAUUGUCUUGGGGUGGAUUAUUGAGUUGGAGCAAGCGGAUGGCUUGCAUGGUGCUAUAAGGCUGUUUACAUUC